CACACACAUAAAUCAGCAUUGGUUUAGACACACUGUUUCCUCUUUGUCUCUGGUCUGAUACACAAUGGUUCAGUUUAAAACUCUGUCUGUGUUUUUCUGUGUCAUGGGUUUGCUCUCAGAGACUCAGAGCUCUUUAACUUUGGAGGCAGAAGCUGGAGAUAACGUUACUAUUUGGUGCAAACAUGAUCUAAAACAUCCAGAUACGAUCAUCUGGUUUAAACACACAAGUGAUUCAGUUCCACUUCUUCUUGGGUGUAAAAAGUUUUUGACAUCAGCUCCAUCAAAGUUGUGUUACUUCUUUAGUGAGAGUGAGAGAAUAGUGAUGUCUGUUCAUGGCAGUAAAACAUCUCUCACAAUCACUGCAGUAAACGUAUCUGAUACAGGACUCUAUUACUGCAGCUUCAGUGAGAAAAUGAUCUUCAGUAACUCCACAUAAUUACAAGUGAAAGGAUUAAAUAAAACAGUUUCUGAAGACAAAGCAACAGGUUCUGUGUCUCCUGCUGUGUUCUUCAUGCUGAUUGUGAUGUUUAGUUCAGUGUCUGUGUUUCUUCUCUUUGUCCUGAUCAUCAUACUGAAGCACAGAAAAACACACAGAGGUGCUGAAGCAGAUGAUAAUGAGGUGUAUAAAUUGUCAAGGAGACACUGCCACUUCUAAGCACUGAAGUGGAGAAUACCUCUCGCUGUGCAGUGUCUUUUGCAAGUUGAGGAAGUUCAUGCCGGACUUUAUUCACUGUGCCCAGUAGCGUUGUUUUGCAGUGCAGCAGUCUAUGCGACAGUGACAGUGGAGUAAAAAAAUUGACCGAGGUGACAUUUCUGCCAUCAUCCAAAAAUGGCUCCAUCAGAUUCAUGACCACGCUCUCUGUCAGCCUCUCUCCCUUCUGACGAUUGGGGUCCUUUCCCAAGUAAAAAGAUGCUUUGCAGACAUAUUUGAAAUUAAUCUAUCUUGGGGCAUUGUCUCUUUGAAAACCAAGAGAUUGUUUUGAAACCAUUUUGACCAUUUUUAAUGUCAGUAAAUAAUAAAACUUGUUUU